GGUUAAGCGACUAAGCGUACACGGUGGAUGCCCUGGCAGUCAGAGGCGAUGAAGGACGUGCUAAUCUGCGAAAAGCGUCGGUAAGGUGAUAUGAACCGUUAUAACCGGCGAUGUCCGAAUGGGGAAACCCAGUGUGAUUCGUCACACUAUCGUUAACUGAAUACAUAGGUUAACGAGGCGAACCGGGGGAACUGAAACAUCUAAGUACCCCGAGGAAAAGAAAUCAACCGAGAUUCCCCCAGUAGCGGCGAGCGAACGGGGAGCAGCCCAGAGUCUGAAUCAGCUUGUGUGUUAGUGGAACGGUCUGGAAAGUCCGACGGUACAGGGUGAUAGUCCCGUACACCAAAAUGCACAGGUUGUGAACUCGAAGAGUAGGGCGGGACACGUGGUAUCCUGUCUGAAUAUGGGGGGACCAUCCUCCAAGGCUAAAUACUCCUGACUGACCGAUAGUGAACCAGUACCGUGAGGGAAAGGCGAAAAGAACCCCGGCGAGGGGAGUGAAAAAGAACCUGAAACCGUGUACGUACAAGCAGUGGGAGCACCUUCGGGUGUGACUGCGUACCUUUUGUAUAAUGGGUCAGCGACUUAUAUUCUGUAGCAAGGUUAACCGUAUAGGGGAGCCGCAGGGAAACCGAGUCUUAACUGGGCGUUAAGUUGCAGGGUAUAGACCCGAAACCCGGUGAUCUAGCCAUGGGCAGGUUGAAGGUUGGGUAACACUAACUGGAGGACCGAACCGACUAAUGUUGAAAAAUUAGCGGAUGACUUGUGGCUGGGGGUGAAAGGCCAAUCAAACCGGGAGAUAGCUGGUUCUCCCCGAAAGCUAUUUAGGUAGCGCCUCGUGAAUUCAUCUUCGGGGGUAGAGCACUGUUUCGGCUAGGGGGUCAUCCCGACUUACCAACCCGAUGCAAACUACGAAUACCGAAGAAUGUUAUCACGGGAGACACACGGCGGGUGCUAACGUCCGUCGUGAAGAGGGAAACAACCCAGACCGCCAGCUAAGGUCCCAAAGUCAUGGUUAAGUGGGAAACGAUGUGGGAAGGCACAGACAGCCAGGAUGUUGGCUUAGAAGCAGCCAUCAUUUAAAGAAAGCGUAAUAGCUCACUGGUCGAGUCGGCCUGCGCGGAAGAUGUAACGGGGCUAAACCAUGCACCGAAGCUGCGGCAGCGACACUAUGUGUUGUUGGGUAGGGGAGCGUUCUGUAAGCCUGCGAAGGUGUGCUGUGAGGCAUGCUGGAGGUAUCAGAAGUGCGAAUGCUGACAUAAGUAACGAUAAAGCGGGUGAAAAGCCCGCUCGCCGGAAGACCAAGGGUUCCUGUCCAACGUUAAUCGGGGCAGGGUGAGUCGACCCCUAAGGCGAGGCCGAAAGGCGUAGUCGAUGGGAAACAGGUUAAUAUUCCUGUACUUGGUGUUACUGCGAAGGGGGGACGGAGAAGGCUAUGUUAGCCGGGCGACGGUUGUCCCGGUUUAAGCAUGUAGGCUGGUUGUCCAGGCAAAUCCGGAUAAUCAAGGCUGAGGUGUGAUGACGAGGCACUACGGUGCUGAAGUAACAAAUGCCCUGCUUCCAGGAAAAGCCUCUAAGCAUCAGGUAACAUCAAAUCGUACCCCAAACCGACACAGGUGGUCAGGUAGAGAAUACCAAGGCGCUUGAGAGAACUCGGGUGAAGGAACUAGGCAAAAUGGUGCCGUAACUUCGGGAGAAGGCACGCUGGUGUGUAGGUGAAGUCCCUGCGGAUGGAGCUGAGACCAGUCGAAGAUACCAGCUGGCUGCAACUGUUUAUUAAAAACACAGCACUGUGCAAACACGAAAGUGGACGUAUACGGUGUGACGCCUGCCCGGUGCCGGAAGGUUAAUUGAUGGGGUUAUCCGUAAGGAGAAGCUCUUGAUCGAAGCCCCGGUAAACGGCGGCCGUAACUAUAACGGUCCUAAGGUAGCGAAAUUCCUUGUCGGGUAAGUUCCGACCUGCACGAAUGGCGUAAUGAUGGCCAGGCUGUCUCCACCCGAGACUCAGUGAAAUUGAACUCGCUGUGAAGAUGCAGUGUACCCGCGGCAAGACGGAAAGACCCCGUGAACCUUUACUAUAGCUUGACACUGAACAUUGAGCCUUGAUGUGUAGGAUAGGUGGGAGGCUUUGAAGCGUGGACGCCAGUCUGCGUGGAGCCAACCUUGAAAUACCACCCUUUAAUGUUUGAUGUUCUAACGUUGGCCCCUUACCGGGGUUGCGGACAGUGUCUGGUGGGUAGUUUGACUGGGGCGGUCUCCUCCCAAAGCGUAACGGAGGAGCACGAAGGUUAGCUAAUCCUGGUCGGACAUCAGGAGGUUAGUGCAAUGGCAUAAGCUAGCUUGACUGCGAGCGUGACGGCGCGAGCAGGUGCGAAAGCAGGUCAUAGUGAUCCGGUGGUUCUGAAUGGAAGGGCCAUCGCUCAACGGAUAAAAGGUACUCCGGGGAUAACAGGCUGAUACCGCCCAAGAGUUCAUAUCGACGGCGGUGUUUGGCACCUCGAUGUCGGCUCAUCACAUCCUGGGGCUGAAGUAGGUCCCAAGGGUAUGGCUGUUCGCCAUUUAAAGUGGUACGCGAGCUGGGUUUAGAACGUCGUGAGACAGUUCGGUCCCUAUCUGCCGUGGGCGCUGGAGAAUUGAGGGGGGCUGCUCCUAGUACGAGAGGACCGGAGUGGACGCAUCACUGGUGUUCGGGUUGUCAUGCCAAUGGCACUGCCCGGUAGCUAAAUGCGGAAGAGAUAAGUGCUGAAAGCAUCUAAGCACGAAACUUGCCCCGAGAUGAGUUCUCCCUGAGACUUUAAGUCUCCUGAAGGAACGUUAAAGACGAUGACGUUGAUAGGCCGGGUGUGUAAGCGCAGCGAUGCGUUGAGCUAACCGGUACUAAUGAACCGUGAGGCUUAACCUU
rnacentral:rRNA from 1 species